UACGUAGGGGGCAAGCGUUGUCCGGAUUUAUUGGGCGUAAAGAGCGUGUAGGCGGCCAUGCAGGUCCGUUGUGAAAACUGGAGGCUUAACCUCCAGACGUCGAUGGAAACCGUAUGGCUAGAGUCCGGAAGAGGAGAGUGGAAUUCCUGGUGUAGCGGUGAAAUGCGCAGAUAUCAGGAAGAACACCCGUGGCGAAGGCGGCUCUCUAGUACGGUACUGACGCUGAGACGCGAAAGCGUGGGGAGCGAACAGG
rnacentral:rRNA from 1 species